CCUAGCUGUCCACGCAUGCAGGACCCCUCUCCUUAUCCUUUCUCCUUAUCUCAUUCUUUUUCUUUUCUCUUUCUCUCUCUAAUCGUGUGAAGUAGAGGAUAGAGAAUUGGUGGAGUUUGAUGUUGAGUUGUGUGAGGAAGCUAAGGAGCAUGAUGAGAAGGCUGAUGGAGCUGAGUUUUGAGAUAAGUUUAUGCUCUCCUUGGUAAGGGUUAGUAUUUCCUGGUUGGAUUUGUUCUAAUUACCUAAAAAGAUUUGAGUAAUAGGUGUUUUGAUUGCUAGAGUUCCUAUUGUAAUGGAAACCUAGUGAGAGAGAGCUAUAUAUGAGCAUCAUAUAUGUGAGCUGUGGAUUGGAAAUAGAACCAGAGAAGCAAACUAGUGAAGGAAUUGUUGGAGAAGAGGUAGCUUUUGUGUUUGGUCUUGUUGGAGAUGCCAAAGUGGGAAAACCAGUCUUGGAAGCUGCGAACUUGAGGAAAGUUUGACAUGCUCGGAAGCUUGGGUUGAUAUUCCGACGGACCUACGACGUGCAAAUAAAGAAACGCUUCGUUCUACCUGUUUGGCAUCGAGUCGCGGGGGCUUGGUGUUUACAUGUUUCGAGACAUUAGGCUUAGCUUUUAGGCAUCCCUACAAGGUUCCAGUGCGAGCGAUGUGGCCGAGGAUCGCGGCAAGAGCCCAGCAGCCUAGCUAGUGGACACCCGAGUUCUAGUGGUAUACCAUUUUGGGUUCAUGUGAAACAUUUUUGAUAUACAGAGACUUGUAAAUGAAUGUAUAAAAGAACAUGUAAAUAACUAAAUGUUUCAGUUAUUCAGUUAUGUAUAGUUCAGUUUUAAAAGUUUUAAAUUACAGUGAAUUUUAUGUAUAGUUAGUUACUUUCA